rnacentral:rRNA from 1 species
UCUACGUCGGCGACCGGCGCACGGGUGCGCAACGCGUAUGCAACCUACCCAUUACAGGGGGAUAACACUGAGAAAUCGGUACUAAUACCCCAUAACAUCCAGGGAGGCAUCUUCUUGGGUUGAAAACUCCGGUGGUAAUGGAUGGGCAUGCGUUGUAUUAGUUAGUUGGUGGGGUAACGGCUCACCAAGACAACGAUACAUAGGGGGACUGAGAGGUUAACCCCCCACAUUGGUACUGAGACACGGACCAAACUCCUACGGAAGGCAGCAG